rnacentral:misc_RNA from 1 species
AACCCAAAUUGGACUGGUACCUUAAAUACCAGUAUGUUUGGUUGAGUGUUAUAAAUUAAUAACCGAUGCUUGGUUUUAAUUUAAUUGAGUUUAAUGUUAUUCUUUGAGUAAUGUUAAAAAUUUGAGAAUUCUUAAUACGAUUCUUUAAAUUCAAGCUUAAUAAUUUGAGUAUAAUUUAUUAUACUUAGAUGAUGUUACGCUAAUAGUUAAAUUCAAUAGUUAUUAAUAAGUUUUAGCAUUUAUGCUCUAACUUUUAUUAUUAUUGAGUUUUAUCAAGCUAUUAAGUUUAAAAUGUCACCGUAAAGUUAUUAUGUAAAUAAAAUUGAAUAAGUUUACUUAUUCAUUAAAUUUUAUGCCUCAACUCAAACAAGAUUACCCGCUGAACUUAA